AUCCCAUGGUGUGGGCACUUUCUCAAUAACUCUUUAAAUCUCUCCCAACCUUCACAAAAGGAUUCAUCUUCCUGCUGCUGAAAAGACAUGAUUUCAUUGCGAAACUU